AGCCCCUAGCGCAGACGGCGGAGAGCAGAGAGGGAGCGCGCCUUGGCUCGCUGGCCUUGGCGGCGGCUCCUCAGGAGAGCUGGGGCGCCCACGAGAGGAUCCCUCACCCGGGUCUCUCCUCAGGGAUGACAUCAUCCGUCCACCUCCUUGUCUUCAAGGACCACCUCCUCUCCAUGCUGAGCUGCUGCCAAGGGGCCUGCUGCCCAUCUACACCUCACGAGGGCACUAGGAGCACGGUUUCCUGGAUCCCACCAACAUACAAAGCAGCCACUCACUGACCCCCAGGACCAGGAUGGCAAAGGAUGAAGAGGACCGGAACUGACCAGCCAGCUGUCCCUCUUACCUAAAGACUUAAACCAAUGCCCUAGUGAGGGGGCAUUGGGCAUUAAGCCCUGACCUUUGCUAUGCUCAUACUUUGACUCUAUGAGUACUUUCCUAUAAGUCUUUGCUUGUGUUCACCUGCUAGCAAACUGGAGUGUUUCCCUCCCCAAGGGGGUGUCAGUCUUUGUCGACUGACUCUGUCAUCACCCUUAUGAUGUCCUGAAUGGAAGGAUCCCUUUGGGAAAUUCUCAGGAGGGGGACCUGGGCCAAGGGCUUGGCCAGCAUCCUGCUGGCAACUCCAAGGCCCUGGGUGGGCUUCUGGAAUGAGCAUGCUACUGAAUCACCAAAGGCACGCCCGACCUCUCUGAAGAUCUUCCUAUCCUUUUCUGGGGGAAUGGGGUCGAUGAGAGCAACCUCCUAGGGUUGUUGUGAGAAUUAAAUGAGAUAAAAGAGGCCUCAGGCAGGAUCUGGCAUAGAGGAGGUGAUCAGCAAAUGUUUGUUGAAAAGGUUUGACAGGUCAGUCCCUUCCCACCCCUCUUGCUUGUCUUACUUGUCUUAUUUAUUCUCCAACAGCACUCCAGGCAGCCCUUGUCCACGGGCUCUCCUUGCAUCAGCCAAGCUUCUUGAAAGGCCUGUCUACACUUGCUGUCUUCCUUCCUCACCUCCAAUUUCCUCUUCAACCCACUGCUUCCUGACUCGCUCUACUCCGUGGAAGCACGCUCACAAAGGCACGUGGGCCGUGGCCCGGCUGGGUCGGCUGAAGAACUGCGGAUGGAAGCUGCGGAAGAGGCCCUGAUGGGGCCCACCAUCCCGGACCCAAGUCUUCUUCCUGGCGGGCCUCUCGUCUCCUUCCUGGUUUGGGCGGAAGCCAUCACCUGGAUGCCUACGUGGGAAGGGACCUCGAAUGUGGGACCCCAGCCCCUCUCCAGCUCGAAAUCGGCAGACUAGGAUGGAAGUGCCCUGUGAGCUGGGGGGCCCUUCAAAGGGCCAAGGAGAAAACGCAGGCCGAGGGACCAGCCUUCCAAAUGGGCUUCAAGCUCCAAUGACCUCCGCUCGCCCCCUCGAAAUGUCUGGAAAACAUAAUGGGCAGAUUUUCUGUCUUCAAAGUUUCCGGCUAAACCUCUUCAAGUUCUUUAUUGUUUGGGACUGAGACACUCAGCCAUGUUAAUGGGUAGUUUCUUUUGUAUUUGCCUUGAAAGGCCAAAAUAUUUUUAUAUUGCCACAGACAAAGCCACCUAUUUAAAAAUGAACUCCAUGUCCGUCGUUUCCCACCAGGAGACUAUGUACCAUGUGUGUGUCUCUAUGUAUUCUGGGGUCUUGAAACAGGUUUCUCAUGGGGAUGGUCAUUCACCACGGUCCAGAGGGGCAGAACAGGCGGCGCUUGCCUUGCCCAGGGGGCCUGGGGAACGUGGGCCCUCAUCUCAGAUCUGCCCCCAGUAUGUUUAGGACGCGAGCCCCAGAAGGAUCUGGGAGUAAACUUAACAUUCACUGUGUCUCUGCUCUGCAUCCGCCAUUUGUGUGUGUUUCUGGACUGUGGGCUGUGUGUACCUUGGUUGGUGACUCAGUGAGAAGAAGCAGGAAUGCCAAAGAUACUGUGAAUGUUCUGAGUUUUGUUGCUGUUGUUGUUGAGAGGUUGUUUCACUGGUAUCUAUUGCAUUGUAUAAUAAAUGACCAGAUGAAUGAAUGAGUGAAGCAAGAGAGAAUGAAUAAACAAGUAAAUAGGUAAAGAAGUAAGCAAGCCAGGAUGAGAGUGUGUGUACACAAGACCAUGGUUCAUCCGCUUUGAUGGCUAGGCAAUCAAUAUAUAAAUAGAAAAAAACCAGUGAAUCACUAAGUAAUAGGGCAACACACAAAGCGAUAUCAGGUGAUUAUGGACUAAGGGGUAUGUGUAACUCAAAUAUAUGCCUCUGACAUUUGACAAUGAAAAAGAACCUAAAUGAAAGAAAGAAUGGAUGUAUGAGUAGUGAAGUGCAGAAUGAGACAUAGAUUUUGAGGCCCGUCAAAAUGAAAAGAUGCAAGUUAGGGAACAAGUGAUCAAAAGGGAGAAGGGAAAGGUUUUUUUUAAAAAACCAAAACAACAAAGAAAGGUUAAAAAAAAAAACAGACUAGAGGAUGAGUAAUGAGUAACUCUGUAAGGAGGACCAUGUCAGACUAUUGUAAGCUAAGCAUUAGGACUGAUACAAAUAAUAUAUGCUCCUGGCAUAGAAAAAUAAACCACAGAGAACGAGUUCAAAGAAUAGCAAAGAAAGAAAGAGGACCCAGUGGGCGAAAGAUGAGAGUGUACUUUUACCAAAAGUUAUCUAAGCCUGAGCACUUGAAGUCUGCACAUAAAUAAAUAAAUGACAAAAGAAAGAAAAAAAGGCCAAAAAGUCUACAUUGCGUGUGUGGAUGGAUGAAUGAGCAGUGGGAGUGCAGCGCCAGGUGACAAGAUGUUGUGAGGGGUUUUGAGUCAUCCAGUCCUGGGCACUGAGGUCUGUUAGAUGAAAGGAUAUGAGAAAGGUAAUAUUGGUAAAUAAAGAAAUAGGAAACAAUGUAACAAAUGUUAAGUACAGAAAUACAUUAAUGGGUGGUAAAUAAAGAUGUAAAAGAAGGCAAUGCGAUCGAUGGUGGCAAAAGAUCAUCACAGAUUAAGGGCUAUGGCUGGUCCACUUCUAGAAAACCACAGGCUGUCCAUUAAAUAAUGAACAUCUAAGUGAACAAGUCAGUGAGUACCUAAAUAGACAAGGAUGAGGUGAAUGAGAAGACAUGGCCCCAUGGGUCCUCCUGAUGAGGGUGUUGGGGUCCCCCCUGGGCACCCCAGCUGCAUGAAAAUGAAGGACAGGAGGUAUGGAAAGCUAUGACAGAAGAGAGAAAGGAACGGUAAAAAGAAAUAACAACCAAAUGGAUAAAUGGGUAGAUCCACGAGAAGAGUUAGGCUAGGACUUGUCAUAAGGGCACCUGACUCCACUAAUAGAGGAAUAAAUGCCUAAUAAAAAGAGAGCAAGCAGGAAGGAAGGAUGCUAUGAAUGCAGGAAGGAAGUAAUGAGUGAGACGUGGAACCGCACGGCCAAGGAUGGACGUUUGCGGGUGGCUUUUUGAUGCGUACAGCCAAGCCACUCCAUGGCAAUGAGCUCCGAAGACAAAGUGCAAGAGAGAAUGAGUGAGAGAGUGAGAGAGAGAGAAACAAUAAAAAAUGGGAAGAAAUGUAAAAAGGAAGAAAGGAAGAGAGGUAAUAUAUUAAGGAAUAAAUACAUGCAUGCAGAUUUAAGACAGAGCCAUGCUAGAACAGGAAUGAAAGGCUGUGUGAACCAAGCAGACCGCUUAAUUGGCACCAGUGCUGCUGGUAUGGUCAAUCACCUACUCAACUAAGGAACGGCUCAAAGCAUACACAUGGGAGGGAGGAGUGGGGCCACAGAGAGAGGGCCCAUUAGUUGCAGAUUACGAUGUAUCCAGUUAGGUGCACCUGCCUUCGAGAAGUGUAAAAAUAAGUAUUUACAUAGAAAGAAAGACUGAAUGGAUGCACGGUGAAUGCAUGAAUGAUUGAACGACAGAAAAGAUUUGCAUUGACCGAUGAGGAGGGCAUUGUAGACAGGGAUGAGGGUCAUUGAUCCUGGGUGCAGAUCUCCAAAAGAAUGACAGAAAGAAAGAGGGAGUGGUGGAAAGAAACAAUAGGAUGGGAAAAAAUGAAAAUAGAAAAAAGGAAGUGAAAGAGAUAAUAAAUAAUUAGAUCAAAUAAGUUGAUGAAAGGGGACUGGUUUAGCACAAGCCAUCCACAUUAAUUCAAACCUGUGGCUCUGAAGUUUGUUUUUUAAAUGACCACAAGUGUAAGACUGAAUGAAAGAAUAAAUGCGUGCAUUCCAUAGGAUGCAAGAAAAGGAGUGAGGAAUGGGAAAAUUGGAAGAACGAGAGAGGGAGAGAUGUAAGAAAAGAAAGGAAAAGUGAAGUAGGCAUAUGAAAGAAAAGGCACUUCUUGGACAAGCACUGAAAUAUAAUGAGACAGUUUUACCCAUUAAAUAUAAUAAACAGUAAACGUUGAGGUUCAUCAAUAAAAGCACAGAUACCUGAAUAGAGGAGUGACCUGAAUAGAAUUCGUUCAGCCGAACGAAUGAGAAUGGAUGAUUUUCACUAUCCUGUGCACUCAAGGCCCAAAAGAGAAAGCAAGAGAGGAGAGAAUAUGGAAACGUAUGACAGGAUGUAUAUAAGCAAUACAAACAUAUUGAAUGAAUAAAUAAAGACAUAAAUAUGUGGGAGAGUGGACCACGCAAGGACAAAAAGAGGAGAGAAGGCAGCAAGAAUUAUGACUAAUUCAAAACUGGGUUCCUGAGAUAGUUAAAUAAAUCCUGCACCAAAUCCCCAGGGGGAGAAAUUAACAAACAAAAGACAGCCCCACACGGACCAGUGUGCAGAAGGCUCCAGGAACCGCAGAUUAUGGUUAAUCCAAUUCUGUGCACCUGAGGUCCAUAAAUAAAAGAAUAAGUAUUGAAAUGAAAGAAUGACAGAAAGAAUGAAUGGACACAUGAACGACUGAAUUAGAAAUGGAAAUGCCUGGCACAGCCAGGAAGGAGCUGCCCAUGGGAUUGUCAUUCAUCUCACUCUGGGCACCUGAGGUCCAUAAGCGUGAAAAGAGGCAGGAAGAGAAGUGUCAGGGAGUCAAAGAUAGAGCUAAGGAAAGGCAAAAAUGAAACUAAAUGAAAGCGAAAGGGAAAAUAAAGAAAAACCAAUAAAAAAGAGAACGAAUACGUGGGUGUAUCUGUAAGAGUAGGAUCUGUUAGGAUUAGUCAUAAGACUGUCAGUAAUCCUGAAGAUGGAUGAGAUAAUCCAGGCCCAGGUUCCCAGGGGGAGGGAAAAUGGAGAAAAUAUAAAAAGAUGUGAAAAAGGAAAAAGGAAAGGUAAUAAACAAACAACCAAAGUGAUAAAUGGAUAGUUAAGGGAGGUUGUCUGAACAGGGAUUAUAAUUAGUUUACAUACAUACUCCUUAAACAGAUAAAUACAUUACACCUUUCAAAGAAUAAAUGAAAAAUAGAGAGACAUACCUGGCUCCAAAACAAGGCUGUAUCUUCUGCCACUGUAAUAAAAUAGAUGCAAUUGAGGUUCAUAAAUAAAAGAAUAAAUACUUAAACGUGAAAGGUGACUAAAUGCGGGGAAGAAAGAUUGCAAAUAAAUACAUGGGCCAAAGAUGUUUGGUUUGCCCAUGGAGUUUUAAUUAAAAAAAUUAAUAAGGAAAACAAAUACCCAAAAUAAGGAAGACUGACAAAUGAGUGAGUGGAUGAGAGAGUGAAUGGUGCUUGACGUAGGAGCAGUAGUGCUUUAGGGACCAGCAUGAAGGUGGUGACCGGGAGCCCUGAUUCAUGGGAUUCUGUCCACCUGACUUUAUAAGAACCAAGAAUGGCUGGGAAUGGUGGCUCACGCCUGUAAUCCCAGCACUUUGGGAGGCCGAGGUGGGCGGAUCAUGAGGUCAGGAGUUUGAGACCAGCCAGUUUGAGAUCAGCCUGGCCAACAUGGUGAAAUUCCAUCUCUACUAAAAAAAUACAAAAAUUAUGGGCGUGGUGGCACCUGUCUGUAAUCCUAGCUACUCGGGAGGCUGAGAGAGGAGAAUUGCUUGAACCCGGGAGGUGGAGGUUGUAGUGAGCCAAGAUUGCACCACUGCACUCCAGCCUGGGCUACAGAGCAAGACACUAUCUUAGAUCAAAAAAGAAAAAAAAAAAAAGAAGGAGAAAGAACCAGAGAAACAUAAGGAAGAGUGAGAGGAAGAAAGAAAGAUGCAAUUUGGGAAGAAAUGAAAAAGAAAUGAAUAAAGAAUAAAAUAAUGUAACGGUCAAUAAAUAGGACUUGUGAAUGGAGGCCUUUAGGCCAAAGGCUAUGAUUAAUUUCAAGCUAUGUUACUGAAGUCCAUAAACAAAGGACUCAGAUCUAAAUGGAUGAACGAAUGACUGGAAGAAAGGGUGGUAGGAAGGUAGGAAGAAAGGAAGGAGGGAAAAAGGGAAGAGAGGAAGGAACCUUCUUUCCAGUCCUGUGUUCUAGACAGUGGAAUGAAGUGGUCCCCAGGGAGGGUGGCUGUAGGCAUGUCAUGUGCUUGUCACAUGCACUUGCCCUGGCAGGGAGGAGCUGGCUCAGGAAGACCCUGGUCUUGGGGUGCUGUUGCCCUAUCUUGGCUGUGUGGGCCAUUUCACUGCAUCUGUCUCUUCCUCAGUUUCCCCAUCUGUAAACCUGGAGUGGCACCAGCUGCCUACUAGAGUUGAUCUUAUGUGUCUCUGUUGAUGGUACCCCAUCUAUGGCCUGGAUAGGCAGGAAGGGCUUGGACCCUGAGCCCCGCAGAAGGUUGCAUGAACGAGUGGUGUGAAGCCUGUUGGGUAGCUUGGCCACUCCCGCGGCAUGGGUCACCUGCACAGGAGGUUUUGCCCACCAGGGGGCAGCAGAGGGUCAGGGAGCAAUAGGCCCUGGGUGGAGCAUGGGCCCCGCCUGCUGUGUGCCACCCUGGGUGUGGCACCUACUCACAUCCAGGGGUUGGUGCAGGGAAAGGCCAGAAGGUGGCCAGGCGCACCUGAGAAGGGGGACCCAGAAGCCCCGGGACCCAGGAGCCCUGGGCAAGCCACCAGAAACCUUGUUCUUGCAACUCUCUGCAGUGUGCCCAGGCCACCCUCUGGCCUGGUCUUCCAUGGGGCAGGGCGCCCACCCUUCUCAACUCAGGUUUCCCUGGGCAGCAGGUGCACCUCAGCACCCCUGGGGUUGCAGAAGUGGUCCGGGGACCCUGGCUUCCUUGACAUGCCAUCCCCAGAGCCUGGUUCAAGGCCUCUCUGUCUUCUCGGCUGUUUCACGACGUGUUUUGUAACUUGGCGGGAUUGCGUUUCGCUGUGUCGAGGUUGUCUCUUCUCUGACUCGCCCUCCGGGGGACUGCCGGGGUAAAUCUGGAGAGUUGCUCGUGCUGACAGUCCUCCCCCAGGGCCUCCCCGGUUCUGUUGAGUCUCCUUUCUCUGUAGUGGAGGAAAUGUGUGUAGUUUUGUGUUGUGUGCCUGUGUUUGUCUGUAAAAGCAAGGACCAAAGUCUCCCUUGUUGACCUCUCAAUUCCUAUUUGGGACAUAUAAAAACACUGGAUUCUUAACAAGCGCCCGGAGCAGUAGGAGCACAGCUUGGAUGGACUCAGGACUUGUGGCAGGGAGCACGUGGGAGGCAGGGGAGUGGGGUGGGGCCAGGCCAUCUGGAGUGGGAGGCGUCAUGCUCAGAGUGACUCUGUAGACGCUGGGUGGGAUGGGGAGUGCGGGCGCAGGCAUGGAUGGGGCUGUUAGCUAGUGUGAUGCUUGAGGUCUGAGCUGAUGGCAGCAAAGUGGGGUGCUCAGGAAUCAAAGCUAUGGGGUUAUAGACAGGAUAUGAAGGAGGGAGGGAGGCAAGAAGAAGGGGGUGGUUCCCACGCUUCUAGCUCCGGCCGAGUGGAUGGCAACAGCAUUUGGAAGGCGGAGGACAUGGAAUUCAUGUGUCAGGAGCCACCUUCCGAGCCUCCAGUACCACGUGUCAGGGCCACAUGAGCUGGGCCUCGUGGGCCUGAUGUGGUGCUGGGGCCUCAGGGGUCUGCUCUUCUUCUCUUUCAGAAUCUGGGGCUCCAGGCUAUGCCUUGGCUGGACUGAGGUCUGGGGGUGCACUUAUUAUCCCUGGGGACACCUGCUGAAGCUUCUCCCUGACAAGCUGUGUCACUGUUGGAUGAGGAUGGGGCGGGAGGGGUUCAGGGCAGAAGAAGACCGGGAGGGUCUUUCAAAAGAACUCAUGUACGGCUGUUAAAAAAAGUCAGCAGAGGCUCAGGAAGACUUAAAGUGUGCAGAAGGCGGGGAAGGGAGGGCCCAUUGCAUGCACCAAGAGGAAAUUGGAAGGAACAAGCGACGUUGGCUGCUAGGAGAGCCUGCUCCCAACAUCUAGGGGCUGUCCUGACGGGUCACAGUGGGUCGAACUGAGCCAAUGAGAGCAGCUCUGGGGAGACCCACUGGUGCCCUGGAGGCUGGGUGGGUUUGGGUUGGAUGAAUUCUGUGUGUCCUUUUGGAAAUGUGGAGGCCAUGAGGGGGGAUCAGGGCUCUUAGGGUUUUGACCCUUAAGAGUUUUGUAUCUGUAAUUCAAAGGUUCUUUAGUUCUGGGAUGCUGAGAUUCGGGAUAGGGUUCCUAAUGGCACAAAAGCCAGAGAUAAAACAUCCUUCACGUGCUCCCUACCCGGUUCUUUCUGUACCAGACCCACAAGGUCCGAGUUGGGAUCCUAGUGCUCCUGUCUGGUCAGGGCCUAUCUUUAUGUGUUCGUUAAACUUUUAACAAUGAGAAUUAAUUCUGUCUCUUGACAUUGUCAUUUGCAUGCUCCCCACACACAAAUCCUUUCCUGGUGACACCAGGAGCUACAACUCUCCUUGGCCUCCUCUUGUGACUCCCAACUCCCUCCUUGGGAAGCUUGGCCUCAGGACCUCUGGGAUAGACAGGCCACGAAUCCUGCUGUGUCCCGUUGUGUUCCUAAUAUAAAUGGUGUGGAUGGCACUUGACCUAGAGCAGUGGGAAAUGCAUGCACCACUCAACAUUCUGACAUGUCACCCAUUUUACAUUCUUACAGGCAUACUUUUUUUAAAAAAAGAGUGUCUAUUCUUUAAUGAGCAUCCCUUCUUUAAAAAAACCUAAUUGCCAUUAUUCACCACAUACACUUUUUUUUUUUUGUAUCCUGCCUCUUCUAUUUAAUUUUCUGUCAUCAACAUUUUCCCUUGUUCCAUGAAUCUUCAUAACCUCACUUGCUGCGUUGUGCCUUGUUGAGUGGCUAUGGCAUCAUUCACAGAACCAUUCUGUUAUUCUUAUGUAUAACCACCUUUUAAAAAUAUUAUGAAUAAUGCCACAACUAACUGCUUAAAACACCCUUUUUUUCAUUCUUAAGAAUUAUGUUCUUCCACCCAGAAAUUAUCAUUGCUUCACUACAGAUCAGUUUCCCCUGCUAGACUGUGAGCCCCAUAAGGGCAAGGAGCUUAUUGAAUUGGCCUUUGUAUCUCUGAUGCCCAACAUGUUGUAGACUAUAAAUAAAUGAUGAAUGAGUGGAUGGAAGAAUGGAGGAAGGAGCGAGUGAGUGAGUGUUUGGCUGAUGGAUAAGAGGGUGGAAGGAUAGGCGGAAGGAUGGAUUGGUGAAUGAAUGAAUGAAUUUCCUUUGGUUAAGUCUCUUGAAAGAAAGGCUAUGGAUCUUUGUAUGGAUGUUGAAUAAUUUCAGUAAGCUUACAGCAUUUUACAAUGUUCAGCAAUGUAUGACCACUUAAUUAAGAUAUGGCUAGUUUGUCUCUGUUAUAAAGUACUUUUGCAUUACUUUAACUUGCAUUGCUUUAAUUACUAAUGAUGGGUGAACACUUUGACCUAUGUUUGUUAACAAAUUGUAUUUUAUCUUCUGUGAA
rnacentral:lncRNA from 1 species